rnacentral:rRNA from 1 species
CACUGUCACUCCUACGGGGAGGCAGCAGUGGGGAAUAUUGCACAAUGGGCGCAAGCCUGAUGCAGCCAUGCCGCGUGUAUGAAGAAGGCCUUCGGGUUGUAAAGUACUUUCAGUCGUGAGGAAGGCGGCGUCGUUAAUAGCGGCGUUGUUUGACGUUAGCGACAGAAGAAAGCACCGGCUAACUCCGUGCCAGCAGCCGCGGUAAUACGGAGGGUGCGAGCGUUAAUCGGAAUUACUGGGCGUAAAGCGCAUGCAGGUGGUUUGUUAAGUCAGAUGUGAAAGCCCGGGGCUCAACCUCGGAAUUGCAUUUGAAACUGGCAGACUAGAGUACUGUAGAGGGGGGUAGGAAUUUCAGGUGUAGCGGUGAAAUGCGUAGAGAUCUGAAGGAAUACCGGUGGCGAAGGCGGCCCCCUCGGACAGAUACUGACACUCAGAUGCGAAAGCGUGGGGAGCAAACAGGAUUAGAUACCCUGGUAG